rnacentral:rRNA from 1 species
ACGGGUGAGUAACACGUGGGCAACCUGCCCUACAGAUGGGGAUAACUCCGGGAAACCGGGGCUAAUACCGAAUAAUCAGUUUGUCCGCAUGGACAAACUCUGAAAGACGGUUUCGGCUGUCACUGUAGGAUGGGCCCGCGGCGCAUUAGCUAGUUGGUGGGGUAAUGGCCUACCAAGGCAACGAUGCGUAGCCGACCUGAGAGGGUGAUCGGCCACACUGGGACUGAGACACGGCCCAGACUCCUACGGGAGGCAGCAGUAGGGAAUCUUCCACAAUGGACGAAAGUCUGAUGGAGCAAUGCCGCGUGAGCGAAGAAGGUUUUCGGAUCGUAAAGCUCUGUUGUAAGGGAAGAACACGUACGGGAGUAACUGCCCGUGCCAUGACGGUACCUUAUUAGAAAGCCACGGCUAACUACGUGCCAGCAGCCGCGGUAAUACGUAGGUGGCAAGCGUUGUCCGGAAUUAUUGGGCGUAAAGCGCGCGCAGGCGGUUCUUUAAGUCUGAUGUGAAAGCCCACGGCUCAACCGUGGAGGGUCAUUGGAAACUGGAGAACUUGAGUACAGAAGAGGAAAGCGGAAUUCC